GGGUCUCUGUGUAGGCCUGGCUGGACUG
rnacentral:piRNA from 1 species